rnacentral:piRNA from 1 species
UAUGACUUCAUUUCUCCAUGUUGUAUGUGA